UACAUGUAGUCACGCCCCAAACACCUUUCGAGGCGAGUGAGGUGCUGAGAGUUCUGCUGAACGAAGACGGAAGCUGAAGAUGGUCGCUGAUAUAAACUGAGAUCACGAUGAUGCCUCGUCGACCGUAUGGAGACGCACGUCGCCGAUUUCUAGAAAACCAAAACGCCAAGUGCAGUGCACAGUCAAGAGCUGAAUGAAAUCAAGAGCCAUGAUCGC